GGUUGUAUAGUGUAGUGGUCAUCACAUCGGAUUUUGAUCUUCCGGGAACCCCGGUUCGAUCCCGGGUACGACCU
rnacentral:tRNA from 1 species